UACGUAGGGGGCAAGCGUUGUUCGGAAUUACUGGGCGUAAAGGGCGCGUAGGCGGCAUGGCAAGUCGGGCGUGAAAGCCCGGGGCUCAACCCCGGAGGGUCUCUCGAAACUGCCAAGCUAGAGUGCGGAAGAGGCAACUGGAAUUCCCAGUGUAGCGGUGAAAUGCGUAGAUAUUGGGAAGAACACCGGAGGCGAAGGCGGGUUGCUGGGCCGACACUGACGCUGAGGCGCGAAAGCCAGGGGAGCAAACGGG
rnacentral:rRNA from 1 species